GAGCCGGCCGAGUCUGAGGGGAGAAAAGGCCGCGGCCAGAGGAGCGAGGGAGGCCGAAUCACCUCAGAGCGCCAAAAGCCCGCCUUCCCCCGAGCCAAAAUGGGGCGGAUGCCUCGCUACGCCAGGCUACACUCGGUUUCUCCGACUGCCGGCACGAGGAGGGAAACCCUUACGAGUCCCCGCAAAACUCGCCCCUGGCUGUCCGCUUCCUCGCCUGCCUGCGCCGCCAUUGCAAGGCUGAAGGGGGAAGGAAGAGCCGCCUCAUGGCCGCCUCAGCAAGGCUGGCCUGAGGCAGCUGCCACUGCUUUACCCGCGCAGCCAGGGCAAAGUGGAGCAGGAGUUUACUGUUUCGACAGCAUCUCCCCCAAAAGCCUAGAAGCAGUUCUUCAUUUCUUUUGCUUACAUUAUUUAAGAAAAAUAAAAAUAUUUGCCCCCGCAUAUCCAAGGAGUGAAGUGGCGCAGCAGCUAAAACUUUUUGGCAAGGCCUGUGUGCACAUUCCAAGCACGUUCGCAUUUCUGUCUCAGCGACGUCUACGCUGGCUUGGUCCUGUGCACAGAACGGAAGAUGGCAGGAUCCCCACGGGCGUCUGGCUUCAGGCACUGGCACGACACGAAGGCUAGCAACAUCAACCCCACUGGUGUGGGAAUAAUCCCAUUGCAUGGAGACGGCUAUGUCAGGUCAUGUAUCCACAGCAGUGACCGGGCGAGGGAUGACUGCUGGGAGGAGUGGAGAAAGAAGAAACGCCAUGGUGCACCUGCAGCAGCACAACUGGAUGCCUUCAUCUGCCUUGGCUGCGACAAAACACGUGUCGGUAUGUUGGUAUCUGCAGCCACAGCAGGUGCUGUAACUCCAACGGUUUGACUUCUCCUGAAGGCGCACUCUUCCAUAUUCUUCCAGACAGAUGGCAACAUCAUCAGUGCUAGAGUGCCGCGUGCAGAAUUAGCGCUGAGGACAUCAAGGUUGAAACAGCUACACAGCAGGUGGUGCAAAGUCCAUCCCAUGAUCUCCAAGAAGGAACCAGAAAUAAGAGUAAUCUAUCAGGCCCAAUGACCAGGGGACGGACAUGACUGAUCCAGAUACUUCAGGGUUUGACCCUACGAAAAUCAUUUACCCACCGAAAAAAUGGAAAAACAAAUGACUCAAAAAGUUUUGCAGCAAGUUGAAGGCUGCCAAGAAGGUACCGGGACCACAUUGCUCACUGCUUUUGAUGUGAAAGACUAGCACGGAGGGUCAGUGUGGUGUAGUGGAUUAGGGGGGCCCAAAGUGCUAGAUAACACUCUUACUGGUGACAUGAAAAAUCUUUAAAAUUCCUGUUAACACCAUAAUAAUUCCUAGUGUAAUGUCCUUUUGUUUUGAGCUGAAAUGAGUUAUGUGAACAGCCCAUUUAAAAUGUUUCGAUCAUUAUCCCUUUUAAAUAUGAAGUCUUACCUUGAAAGAGGGUACUAUCUUUGAUCUUCAUAUUCACAUUCAUAUUCAUUUAUAGAACUUGGGUCAGGAUUCAUCUGAGUCCCAUCAAUUGAAGCCCUGUGCAACAACUUCCACAAUGAGGUCUUCCCCCUCUUCUCCCCCAUG